rnacentral:rRNA from 1 species
GUGGGGAAUAUUGGGCAAUGGGCGAAAGCCUGACCCAGCAACGCCGCGUGAAGGAAGAAGGUCUUCGGAUCGUAAACUUCUAUCCUUGGUGAAGAUAAUGACGGUAGCCAAGAAGGAAGCCCCGGCUAACUACGUGCCAGCAGCCGCGGUAAUACGUAGGGGGCAAGCGUUGUCCGGAAUGAUUGGGCGUAAAGGGCGCGUAGGCGGCCUGGUAAGUCUGGAGUGAAAGUCCUGCUUUUAAGGUGGGAAUUGCUUUGGAAACUGUCGGGCUUGAGUGCAGGCGAAGUAAGCGGAAUUCCCGGUGUAGCGGUGAAAUGCGUAGAGAUCGGGAGGAACACCAGUGGCGAAGGCGGCUUACUGGACUGUAACUGACGCUGAGGCGCGAAAGUGUGGGGAGCAAACAGGAUUAGAAACCCUAGUAGUCC